GAUUUAAGGAGUCCGGUGGGACGACAACGAUAUUUCCCUAAGUGCUGUCUCAGUACCCGAAAGGGGGACUGACUAAUGUUGUUCUUAUCUGGACCAAGACGGGAAAUCGAUACUUUAGUAGUGUUUCACGGCUAAUGAAUAUCGAUUGCAUCGGUUACUGCAUGACUUCGUGGGUUUCCGCCAGAUGACG
rnacentral:rRNA from 1 species